rnacentral:rRNA from 1 species
AGCGCUGCGGCUUUGGUCGUCGUCACCAUGCUCCUGCUCCAAGCUUGCGGUGAAGGUAGUGAAUUUUCAGCAUCUUCCUUGCCGCGGCCGCCUCGGAAUCAGAUGCGCAAGAUGCUCGGCGUCAAUGCAUCCUCCAUGUCAUCGAACGGCGGCGGAGGUCACUCGGCGGAGCCGUUGGAGCUGGAGGAGUGCUCCAAGGACCUCCUGGAGGUCUCCCAGUUCAACGGGCCGAGCAUGGCCGGCGGCAUGCCGACCUACAGCGUGGAGUUCACCAACACCUGCAUCGACUGCGCCGUGUGCGACGUCCACGUCGCAUGCGGCGACUUCGCCUCAAAUGAUGUCAUCGACCCUGACAAGUUCCGCCGCCUCGCCUUCGACUGCCUCGUCAAUGGCGGCGGGACCAUCGAGCCCAGCUUCCCUGUGUCGUUUCAGUACGGCAACUCCUUUCCCUACCCGAUGACAGUGGCGUCCGCCUCCUGUGACUGUAACUAG